rnacentral:lncRNA from 1 species
CAGAAUUUCGACUUUUGCUGCUGGAAAUGGACUAGAAACAUUACCCUAAACUGUUUUGGUGUUUUAAAACUUGUUUUAGUUGGUGUAAUGGUUGUUCUAAUCCAUUUACAAUAGCAUAUAUCAAAAUUCCAUGAUUUUUAUGUGUUCAUAUAAUUCUUGAAAUUUUGAUGAUCAUGUUCAUGUUCUUAUGAAUUUAGAAGAUGAUAGGAAUUAUUUGCUGAAUUGUUUAGAAUUAAUUCUUGAUCAUUUAUGUGUUUUAAUGGAGUCCAUAAUUUGUCCUCAAGUUAUGGAUAUCCAAAGGUCACUUUUCUUUAACACACACAUUUAAACACAUAAGUUACAUGAAAAUGAAGAGUCUUCAUUUUUAUGAACCUUUAAUUCAUAAGUUAUGAAAUGAAAAGUUUUGGAUAGUUACAAAACUUGCCCUCAAGUUUUGGAAUUUGAAAAGUUUCACACACUUUAAUAAACUUUAAUUCCAACACUUAGAGUUUUAAAAGUUAAAAUUCAACACUUAUACUAUUUAUAACAUUAAUGGUUAAUUAUUAUAUAUAUGUAUAAGAACAAGUCGUUUUACCGUUAGUAGGCCUCAUUCACGAAGCCGGUCUAUAAGGUGGGUAUAAGGUUGUUGCCUAUAAAAUGGCGACUUAAUGGGUGUCCACUCUCACCCACCGCUUGCUUGAUCGGUGGAGGGUCGUUAGCCGAACGGGUAGGACAAUGACUUUAAAUUCUCAUUAAAAGUAUAAUGAUUAUUAUAAAGUAACUAAAAAUUUUUUAUUUAAUUCCCAAUCUUAGUUACUUUAGGAAAAAUGUGAAUUUGGUGCUAGCCCAUGGAAUUCACACUUUGUACCUUACCAAGUCGUUGGUGGAGCGUGUGUGGUUAACCGGCACACUAACUUGGACUAGUAAGGAUCACGAAGGGUGACUUAAUGUUUGUCAUAGAUCAAUGGAGCGUGUGUGGUUAACCGGCACAUUGAUUAGGUGAUAAUAUUAAGGGUACCAAGUGAAUUGGUAUGGUUAUUCACACCUUGUUUUGUGAUCCUCGGCAUCCCAGUCACAAAAUUUGAGAGGGCACACUCGAGAUUGAAACAUGCCAUUGAAAAGUUCAAUGAAUCUCAAAAGAUCUAGGAAUUUCAAAUCCAAUUAAAACCUAAUAAAUUAUUUCGUUUUUCAUGGUGGAAAUUGGUGAAUCGUCAUUCGCCUACCUUCAAAUAUUUUAUAGCUUGGAUUACGGCAUCCCUCUUCCAAAUUAUAAAAUAUUGUGUUGGGUCCUAGCCUUAAUAUUUCAUAUUGGGUGUUAUAUUAAGGACUUUGAAUCAACUAACUUGAUUUUCUCCCAUUAUAGAUGUCUGGUUCAGACAACUAUGAUCUUCCCAAAUCUCUUGAAGAUGGUGUCCCUCAACAUCAUGCUUCACUUCCUCCACCUCCUCCAAUUAUUCUCCCUCACCCACAAGUUCUUGAAAAGUUUAAAGUCACUCAAUCCCUAUUGGCAAGCAUAGUCUAUGUGUGCUCACAUCUUGGAGAUAAAGUCACAUAUUGACAAGCCGGGAGAGUUGGGUGUCAAAGUCUCGUGAAAGUUGGAUGUUCAAUCACUUUCUUAGUAACAUAGUGAGUCUCUUUGGGACUACUAUGAGACAGACUAUGACAUGACCCUUAAUGAUGUUAUCUAUUUGCUUGGUGUUGUGGAAUCAGCAAUGAUUUGGAACACCAGUAAAGCAAAUUUGAUUAAAAGAACAACUUCCCAAGUCUUAAAUGGACAUUGACAAUGGUAGCAUUGGAUAUCUAGAAAAGGAUUUCUCUUCCCAAUGGAAAGGGAUCGGCCAUAGUCAACUCGGUUGACCAAAUGGUAAAGAGAAAGGCUAAGUCUGAGAUAGUCUCAUGUGCCAUUACCAAAGGGUCCAUGUGUUUUGUUGCCAAAGGAAGGGGCAUUGGUUGCGAAGCUGCCCUAUUCACCUGAAAGGUCAUAAGGUUGAUCAAGUCAAGAGGUUUGACUCUACUUCGGGUAAAGUCCACUGUCUAACUCUAUUAAGUUCCUAUUUGGAGAUUCUUAUUACAUAAUGUGAAUGGGUCACAUGCUGAUGUUUUUAAGAAUCAAAGAAAAGAUAGGAAGCUUAAAGUAAGUAUAUGUUGAUUCUGAUUGCGAAGGUGGGUUUCGAUCGCAUGGUUCGGUAAUCAGAAUUUUGAGCUGUUGCUUAAGAGUUAUAAUAUAUUGCUUAUGAAUAGAUAACAACAAGGUUUUCAUGUGGAUUGUAAGGAUAAGUUUUUCCGCAAAGUUUUAAAAAAAAAAAAAAAAAGGGUUUUAAUUUUAUUUAUUUUAAAAAUAUCCUUACAAUGGCAUCUGUGGAAAAUUGUUGCUUAUAUGUUUCCAGUAAUAGCAAUAUUGGAAAGUGGAUUUGAUUCUUUCAUUUGUGGUAGUGUCUGAAUUUACCAAAUGAAGAAAGUUUUUCAUCACCCAAGUUUCAAUUGGACAGAAACUUGGAAUCAUACAAGUUGUAUUGUAUGAUGAAUGAGAAUUUUCAUCUUUGAAAAUUAAGACUAAUUCUUUGAUCACAUGUAUAUGUGAGUCAAUUGAAGGACUAAGGAAUUAGGUACACUGGGUGUGCGCUGGUCAAGGUCCACCACAAAGAUUGAUUUGUCAUGAUUUACUAAAGAUUAGUAAAUAUGAUUAUACUUAUGAGGUUAAGUAUAAUUCUGUAACAUUGGAAAGGUUACAAUGUAUGACAAAACAAAUGAGAAGAAUCAAAUUAGGCAGAAAGAUAAAAGUUUCUCAAAUCUGAAAGGAUGGGAGAGUACUUUAGUAUCGUAUUUCAUGAUCAUCUUAAUGAUUAUGAAACCAUAUCACAAAUUCAUACUCUAAGGACGUCUUAGUGCAUUGUUAUGGCUAAGAAGAGAGGUCAUGAAUUGUUGGAUUGGUUAAAAUCAAGAAGAUGAGUCAUACUUCGUUCCAAAACAAUUCUUAGAGUCAUACUCCAAGAUUGUAACUUUGAGUGACAUAAAGGAAGAUUUAUUAACACUAGUCAAAUGUAAGAGUAAAAUGUUUUCUACUCUUGUACAUUUGAGAUUGGUAAGUUGUGAUGUCUUGGAUGAGACAAAGACCAACUAAGACCAAUUGUGUGAAGUGUUAGUCUUGAUAAGAAUCCGCACUAUCCCUUGAAUAUUUGUUUUGUCAAGGAAUGGUUCUUGACUGGGGAAACUUAUAUGUCAAGGGGACAGUGGGAGCCUUAAAGAUCCUGAAAGAGUUUCAAGAUUUAAUCAAGAGUAAAACCUGUAAUUUAUCACUAGCACACGACUUAAGGUUUGCAACCUAUCGUGUUGACAUAAUUCUUAUUUCUGUACCUACUUCAAAUAAGUUGAAUUUGCAUGUGAGUUAUCAGAGUUCAACUUGGAAGCAUUGGUGGGCCUUGUGCUACCAAGGUGACAAGAAACUAAGAUUGAACAAGUUUAAUCCAUGUAAGGCUGAAUUUGUCACUAACCUUAUCUUGUGAUUAUGGUUUUGACAAAUUCACAUGGAUAGGAACUCAUACACUAUAAAAUCUAAGUGUCAUAAGGUUUCUCUCCGAUUCAUGAAAAUGAUGGUGAGGAAACGCUUUCACUAAGUAGAUUUUACGUAGAUAUCAAUUGUGUUAUUUGCAUUUUCAAAAGUCGUUAGUGGAGCGCGUGUGGUUAACCGGCACACUAACAUGGACUUGUGAGAAAUGGCAAAUGCCUAAGCAAUUGAGACUAUGAUUACGGCAUCCCUUUUCAUAGUUCUGAAAAUUGUUUAGACACACAUGUGAGCUAUCUAAGAAAGGGUGUAUGAAUCUAAAUUUCAGAAGUCCAGCAGAUUUCUGGAAAUAUGUCAGAGCUAGUGGGAGCAUAAGUGUUAUGCUGAUAAUCAUCAUGUUAGUGGGAGCAUGAUUAUUACGUUUAGUGUUGCAAGUUAGCAAUGUUAAUUAUAGAAAACAAAGUUUCAAUUCGUGAAGUUGCAGGGGUUGAAAAGUUGUUUUGCUAUAAUUAAGGGAGAGGAAAUUAUACUUCAUUUCAAUUCUAAAGCUUAGAUUGAGAUUUUAAUCAUCUUUAGUCAAGAAUAUAUAUAUGAAUUUUAUGUUGGAAUGGUUCAACUUGAAGAAAUUCUAUAUAUAUUGCGUUUUCAAAAUUCGAUUAUGAUUACGGCAUCCCUCUUCAUAGUUAAAUUUUGAAAACAUGGCAAAUAAAAAAUAUUGUAGCAAAAGACUGGUCUAGUAUCAUGUCUUUAUGUCAAACAUCAUGAAUCGUGUCCCAUAUGCUUCGGAUAUAGGAUCGAUUGCAUGUGCUAUAAUAUUCAUCUUUUCUAAAUUUUCCAAAUGCUUAAGGCAUUGAGAAGGGAAAAGUCUAGAACUGGAUAUGACUAAAGUGAUUAAGCAAUUGUCGAGGACAAUCUGAGGUUCGCCAAAGAUUGGUUGCUCAGGGAAAGUUGGAAGUAUGAUGUAAGUUGUCGGAAAGGACCAUAUUGACAUAUUCUGAAAAGAAGUAACUCUUGUUCGGAAGUGAUAGUCAAAAUGGGACUAUGGAAAUGUCUCCAUAGGUGGAAGUUAUUCAAUCUAUGUAAGAUUAGAAAACCUUAAUGCAAGAAGGAUGUUCAAAGCAAUGUACUUUGAAUAUGAGACUUCCGUUCCAUAGAAGUUGACCUUCUUUGGAAUACUCUGUAAUGACUGGUGACAAGGUUUUGGUGACUUUGUGCAUAAUCAUUACAAGAGGAACAUUGCAUAAAAGUUUAAAAUCUAACAGUUUUUUUGGUAAAUGAUAGGAAUCGGGGAUUCUCACAUUUACAAUAAGGAUUUGGGAUUGUGAAAUGAGUAUCAUUGGAAUCAUGUUCAAUUGAUCUACAUCACAAUGUAAGGAUCAUAGACAAACAUAGUGUGCAUACUUGGAGUAUGGCAUAACUAUUGUUUAGAAAAACAAAGUGUACAUGCUAGGAGCAUGGGACGACUGUUGUUUUUAUUCAAGUCUUAAGUUGAUUGUUUGAAACAUUAUACAAUGAAUAAUGUGUAAUCAAUAUGGUGAUAAAUAAAAGGUGGUUCUAUUUAUAUUCAAAAGGGUUCUGAGACCAUAUUGGAUUCGAUUAUUAUUGUGUUUCACUUUGCAUGUUUUGACUUCCAAAAUAGCUAGGUUAUUCUUUCCGAAUGACUAAGUUAUUUAAACACUCCACAGUCGUUCAUAUGUUGGAAGUAGGUAUGAAUCAAGACUGUCAUGAAUCGAGUUUGUAGAUGGCUAAAUGGGUUUAGUCAUAGCAAUGGUUGCUACAACAUUCAUGAGUGCUCAUAAGUUAUGAGUAUUGGAAUAAACCCACGCUCACUUGUAUCACUUCAUGGAAUUUAUCUCGAGUGAUCGUGAGACGGUAAUAUCAUAUAAAUCUUCAAACCUAGAGAUAUGAGUUGUUACCUAUGAGUUGGUUGUGCAUUGAUUGCACGUAAACGCAUCAGUAACUUGAUGUUAUAAAACGUGCCUUUGUGUACAAUUCAACAAGUAGUAGAACAAGCAUAUGAGUCGAAGUUUAUCUGUUCCUUCUAGAAAUAGAAGCGAUAUCUGGGCCCCUCGAUGAUUUUGUUGUGACCUAUGUACCGGCCGGUCAGAACUAAAUUGAUGUGUUCGAUUAAGUUCUUUGUCAAACAAAUCGAAAAUCGGGAAACAAACUGCUGGACAAUAAGUACGACGUUGUUCCAUGUAUUUGUCCGGCUGAUAUCAUGAGAACAGAGGAUUAUAUGAUCACUUAUCUAAAAUGGCGCUUCAUAGUUCAACAGAGUUUUCGAGAGCUACGAUUGCUGGUUGGUUCCUGAAGUAACAUACGCAAAUAUAGUUAUUAGACUUAUCCAAGUGGGAGUCUGUUGGAUAAGGUGUCUAAGUCCAUAACUUAUUUGGUAUAUACUUGACCCGACCCGGCAUGGUCCAUUUGGGUUGCACUUCACCCGAACUAUUUAUGGAUAAUUUUAUGAGAGUUAUACACAUAUGUUUAUUAAUAUAUUAUAAGUUAUAAUAUAUUAAUAUGAAGUUAUGUUAUUUAAUUAGUCUUAGUCUUAAAUUAAUUAUGAAUUAAUUUAGAGAUUAAAAGGAAGACUAAUUAGAUUAUGGGCUAUUGGUUUUAUAUGGUGUGGGCUAACACUCAUUUGUUAAUGGGCUAGGCUUAUAUGGAAGUCCAUGGAUGAUCCAUGGAGCUUUUAACCCAUGGAUCCUUGGAAAAGGAAAGGUCAUGGGUUAUUAGGGUUUCACCCUAACCAUGUACACUAUAUAAGCAUGCUUAUGUUGCAUGAAAUAGCCACUAGUGUGGUUUUGUGUGUGUGGCCGAUUUUUAUGUGUGUAUACACUCUCUCAAAGUUUUCCAAGAGUUUGUGGUGAUUUGUGAUUCCAUUUGAGGCAUUCACACUAUUGGUGCUUGGCCCUCAAACUCCUUAGGAAUCAAACUCAUCAUCAAAAGGUAUGUAAUCUCAUCUAAUUCUUUUAUGUUUAAAAGUACCCCAUGCCAUGUUAGAUAGGUUAUGAACCUUGGAAAAUUAUUAUUUUGCAUGUAUUUAGACAAACAUAGAUCCAAGGUUUAUUAGGGUUGCAUGCACACUUAGGAAGUGUUAGAUUGCUCAAAACCCAACAGUGGUAUCAGAGCCUAGGGUUGCUUGUUUGAUACUUGAAGCAAAAUAAUAAUAAUAAUAAUAAUAAUAAAAGAAUUUCGACUUUUGCUGCUGGAAAUGGACUAGAAAUAUUACCCUAAACUAUUUUGGUGUUUUAAAACUUGUUUUAGUUGGUGUAAUGGUUAUUCUAAUCCAUUUACAAUAGCAUAUAUCAAAAUUCCAUGAUUUUAUGUGUUCAUAUAAUUCUUGAAAUUUUGAUGAUCAUGUUCAUGUUCUUAUGAAUUUAGAAGAUGAUAGGAAUUAUUUGCUGAAUUGUUUAGAAUUAAUUCUUGAUCAUUUAUGUGUUUUAAUGGAGUCCAUAAUUUGUCCUCAAGUUAUGGAUAUCCAAAGGUCACUUUUCUUUAACACACAUUAAACACAUAAGUUACAUAAAAUGAAGAGUCUUCAUUUUUAUGAACCUUUAAUUCAUAAGUUAUGAAAUGAAAAGUUUUGGAUUGUGGAUGUUCAUGUUCAUAUGAGUUUUGUUAGAUCAUAGGAAUUAUUUGCAAAUUGUUUAUUAGUUAAUUCUUGAUCUUAAUGUGUUUUAAUGGAAUUCUUAAUUUGUCCUCAAGUUAUGGAAUUCGAAGAGUUUUUCUUUUAAAUGUUUUUAAGAAGUUGUAGGUUACAUUUUCUUGAAGAGUUUUUCCCAUAAAUGCUUUUAUGGACUUCAUAACUUGUCCUCAGGUUAUGGAUUUCCAAGAGACUCUUCAUUAAAAGCUUUAAAACACUUAAUUAAAACUCAUAAGUUAUGAAUAUCCAAAAGUUUAUGAAUUGUUCAAAACUUGCCCUCAAGUUUUGGAAUUUGUAAAGUCUCACACAAACUUUAAUUCCAUACCCUAGAAGUUUUAAAAGUUAAAAUUCUACCCUUAGGAAGUGUUAGAUUGCUCAAAACCCAACAAAAUUCUCAUUCAUCAUGCUAUACAACUUGCAUGAUUCCAAGUUUCGAUCCAAUUGAAACUUGGGUG